GAGGGGGCUAGCGUUGCUCGGAAUUACUGGGCGUAAAGGGAGCGUAGGCGGACUGUUAAGUUAGAGGUGAAAGCCCAGGGCUCAACCUUGGAAUUGCCUUUGAUACUGGCAGUCUUGAGUACGGAAGAGGUAUGUGGAACUCCGAGUGUAGAGGUGAAAUUCGUAGAUAUUCGGAAGAACACCAGUGGCGAAGGCGACAUACUGGUCCGUUACUGACGCUGAGGCUCGAAAGCGUGGGGAGCAAACAGGAUUAGAUACCCUGGUAGUCCACGCCGUAAACGAUGAGUGCUAGUUGUCGGCAUGCAUGCAUGUCGGUGACGCAGCUAACGCAUUAAGCACUCCGCCUGGGGAGUACGGUCGCAAGAUUA
rnacentral:rRNA from 1 species